AACGAACGCUGGCGGCAUGCUUAACACAUGCAAGUCGAACGAGAACUUCGGGUCUAGUGGCGCACGGGUGCGUAACGCGUGGGAACUUGCCCUUAGGUUCGGAACAACUCCCCGUAAGGGGUGCUAAUACCGGUUAAUGUAUUCGGACCAAAGAUUUCUCGCCUUUGGAUGGGCCCGCGUUGGAUUAGCCAGUUGGUAGGGUACAAGCCUACCAAGGCGACGAUCCAUAGCUGGUCUGAGAGGAUGACCAGCCACACUGGAGCUGAGACACGGCCCAGACUCCUACGGGGGGCAGCAGUAGAGAAUAUUGUACGAUGGACGAAAGCCUGAUCCAGCAAUGCCGCGUGAGUGAUGAAGGCCUUAGGGUUGUGAAGCUCUUUUACCCGGGAUGAUAAUGACAGUACCGGGAGAAUAAGCUCCGGCUAACUCCGUG
rnacentral:rRNA from 1 species